AACCCUGGUCAUUUAGUAAAUUAAUUUUUCCUCUUUCUCACAGCAGUUGCUAAAAUAGCUGUAACCUUGCCAUACUGUGUGCUAUGUUACUAGUGGCAAUGAAGUUUCUCCUAUGCAUAGCAUGAGGUGCUGUGGCCAUCCCAGAUGCUUAGCCUUUGCAACUGAUGAUGUAAAAAGCUUCUGUGAGGAAAGUAGCAAAUCACUCCAUGAGGCUGUGGAAUUCAUGCUACAGAAGAGGAGGUCUCUGAAGAAGUCAGUGAAACACCUGCUGUAUCACCAACAGAGUUCCCAGUCUGUCUGCUGAAUGGACUUGCAUAUUAUUUGGAAAAAAAAAUACUGGUUGAGCUCUUCCAUAAACUUCAUGAGAAUACAUUAUAAUCUUCAGAUUCAAUAGCAAAUUAAAUAGAUCUUUUUGGUCACAGGUUCUUAUUUCCUUUGUGAUUUGCUGUGCCCACCACCCCUUUGCAGGUACAAAUACAGAGAUAAUGCAGAUACAAAUACUCAAUGGCAGUCAUUGCUAGAUUAAAAUAUUUG